AUUUGGUUCAGCACAGCACUGUCCCACCUCCAAGGGAGGGUUUGGGACCCUCUCUUCCAAACACAACUCUUGUGACGCAACAGUCAAAAUGUUUGAGAAAAAACAUUCCUAUGCCUGGUCCUCCACACUGAUCAUUGAAACUACUUUUGUUGAAGAAUUUUUAUCUGGAAAUUCAUGAGGUCUUGCAAUCUUUCCACAUGUAAACUGAUGUUGUGUAGUUCCUGUAAAGCUGAAUUGAAAGCAAUAGAAAACCAGAAGGGAAUUGUAAACUCAGAGCAGAAGGAAGAAGGAAAUGAUAAACUCAGCACUACCAACACCAGCUGUAAUGAACCAGAGACAAGUACUCAGCAGAGCUACAGACCAAAACUUUCAGGCUUCAAUAAGAGAAAUAACAAAAUAGGCCCCUGGGAGGAGAAAUACAGCAACUCAGACUUGUCAGCUUUUAUCUCUGGACACCAUCAUACAACCUUAUGUUUGACAAUUACUUGUUCCUGAAUACUCUGAUAUUCAUUACUUACACAUAUUUAUGUAAGUAAAACUAAAAAUUAAAAAUCAGGUUUAAAAACCAUGCAGAAACAUGUUGCCUUUUAAGAAAACUAGCUUUUACCACAAUUAAGAGGACACUUUAUA